AUACGUAGGGAGCAAGCGUUGUCCGGAAUCAUUGGGCGUAAAGGGCGCGUAGGUGGCGCAGCAAGCGUGCGGUGAAAGCUCGGGGCUCAACCCCGAGUCGGCCGUGCGAACUGCUGGGCUCGAGCACUGUAGAGGCAGGCGGAAUUCCGGGUGUAGCGGUGGAAUGCGUAGAGAUCCGGAAGAACACCGGUGGCGAAGGCGGCCUGCUGGGCAGUAGCUGACGCUGAGGCGCGACAGCGUGGGGAGCAAACAGGA
rnacentral:rRNA from 1 species